rnacentral:tRNA from 1 species
GCCGGUGUGGCUCAGUGGUUGAGCAUCUACCUAUGAAUCAGGAGGUCAAGGUUCAAUUCCUGGUCUGGGCA